rnacentral:rRNA from 1 species
GACGAACGCUGGCGGCGUGCUUAACACAUGCAAGUCGAACGGAAAGGCCCUGCUUGCAGGGUACUCGAGUGGCGAACGGGUGAGUAACACGUGGGUGAUCUGCCCUGCACUUCGGGAUAAGCCUGGGAAACUGGGUCUAAUACCGGAUAGGAGCCAUCUUUAGUGUGAUGGUUGGAAAGUUUUUUCGGUGUAGGAUGAGCUCGCGGCCUAUCAGCUUGUUGGUGGGGUAAUGGCCUACCAAGGCGGCGACGGGUAGCCGGCCUGUGAGGGUGGACGGCCACCGUGGGACUGGGAUACGGCCCAGACUCCUACGGGAGGCAGUAGUGGGGAAUAUUGCACAAUGGGCGCAAGCCUGAUGCAGCGACGCCGCGUGGGGGAUGACGGCCUACGGGUUGUAAACUCCUUUCGCUAGGGACGAAGCUUUUUGUGACGGUACCUAGAGAAGAAGCACCGGCUAACUACGUG